CGGACCGGCGCACGGGUGAGUAACACGUAUGCAACCUGCCCUCCGCAGGGGGAUAACCCGGAGAAAUCCGGACUAAUACCGCGUGGUACAUCUGUGGGGCAUCCCACGGGUGUUAAAAGGAAGCGAUUCCGGCGGAGGAUGGGCAUGCGGCGCAUUAGCUAGUUGGCGGGGUAACGGCCCACCAAGGCGAUGAUGCGUAGGGGUUCUGAGAGGAAGGUCCCCCACACUGGUACUGAGACACGGACCAGACUCCUACGGAAGGCAGCAG
rnacentral:rRNA from 1 species